GGUAAUAGCUCAGUGGUAGAGCGUGUGCUUAGCAGGCACGAGGUCCUGGGUUCAAUCCCCAGUACUUCCA
rnacentral:tRNA from 1 species